UGUGCUAGCCGGGGACGCAGCGGCUCCCUGUAUCUGUAAAUCCGCUAUAGCAGAGGUUACGCCUUUUCCGAGGCUCUGUCCGUGUCGGGUCAGCCUGCGGUAAGUGGUGAUGACGGUUGAGUCUUGCGCAACAGAAGCUUGUGAACCGUGUCAGGUCCGGAAGGAAGCAGCACUAAGCAAUAACUUUUGUGUGCCGUAAGGUCGCUUGACCUGAGCUAACUGCCACAGUAACGUCGGUACGGCUCUGUCG
rnacentral:SRP_RNA from 1 species